GAUGAAGAACGUAGCGAAAUGCGAUAAGUAAUGUGAAUUGCAGAAUUCAGUGAAUCAUCGAAUCUUUGAACGCACAUUGCGCCCUCUGGUAUUCCGGGGGGCAUGCCUGUUCGAGCGUCAUUAUAACCACUCAAGCUCUCGCUUGGUAAUGGGGUUCGCGGUUCCGCGGCCCCUAAAAUCAGUGGCGGUGCCUGUCGGCUCUACGCGUAGUAAUACUCCUCGCGAUUGAGUCCGGUAGGUCUACUUGCCAGCAACCCCCAAUUUUUACAGGUUGACCUCGGAUCAGGUAGGGAUACCCGCUGAACUUAAGCAUAUCAAUAAGCGGAGGA
rnacentral:misc_RNA from 1 species